UAUACCUGAAAGAACAAGAUUAUUAAAUUAUAUUCGUUAUUGUUUUAUUGUUAUUUUAAAAUAUUAUUUAUUCUUGGUUUAUUCUAUUGAUUUAGAAUAAUAAAACAUACAAUACUAAAAUACUAAUAAUAAAAUAUUAAAAAUAUGUGUUUUUUAAAUCAAUUUCUUUAUACAAUUUUUUUAAGGAUAUUUUGGACAAAAAAUGGAAUGAUUUAUAAGAUUCCGGAGUAAAAGUAUGAAAAGUCGGUCAAAAGAUUCGAUGAUGGAGGUGCAUAUUAUCGAUUGGAAAGCAUGGCAAUAAACGCACCUUUUUCCUUCGUUGGAGAGAUGGUAUCAGUCAGUAAGCUCAUAAUUAAAAUCACUCUCGCCAUAAAUAGGCAAAACGCUUAAAUUAAUCAUGGUUGGGCAAUCUGGUAGUAAAAUGAGAAAUAUCUAAUUGGACCAGCAUAAUAUUUAAAACAGACUUCAAUAAUAUUUUUUUAUCAAUUAUAAUUAUUAUUUUUAUUAAUAUUUCAAAAUUUCGAUUUGUUUGUUUUUUUUUUACGAAUGUAUUAUCUCCAUAGAAAAAAAAAUGCGAUUUCCAUCAAUUUCAUCAUAAAGAUAAAAGAAAAUCCUUUGGGAAAUCGAACAGAUGGAUAUUUCAAGUAUAUUUCAUACUCUAUGAAAUAUGUUGACAUUAUCGGAAUGUAGAUGGAAUUUUUUAAAUUCCUAUACUAAUUAUAUAAAUAAUAUAUAAAUUAUUUAUCGUGGAAUCGAUACAUUAUUAUCUACUUUUAUAAAUUUAUAAAAAAAAAUGUUAUAUAUAAAAAUAGGAUAGAGAUUUUUAAGUAAAAUUUACUUAAAAAAAAAUAUACUAUAUAAAAAUUAUUUUUUCCGAAAAAUUUUAUUUUUAAAUUAUGAAUAUUAUGAAUAUUAAUACAAUUUUGAUUCCAAAAAAAAUGAUAAUCUGUUAUAAUUUGUUACUUGGCAAAAAGAAUAAUGGAAUUUAAUAUUAAUACUCAAUAAUUUCUUUUUUGAAAAAAAGUUAUUUCUUCUUUAUUAUAAAUUAUUAAUUAAGAUUAAUAAUUAAGAUUAAUAAUUAAGAUAAGAAUACUUAUAUAGAACUUAAUUAUAAAAAAGACAUUUAGAAACAGGAAUUAUAUUGAUAAUUUAUUACAUAAAAUUCAUUAAGUAAUUAUAAAAAUAUUUGAUAUAAAAAUGGAUUAAUUAAUUUUAAAUUAAAUUUCUCAAGAAUAUCUAUAAUAAUCUCAUAUUAUUAAAAUAUUUUAUGUACUCAUUAUUUAUUGGCGUCUAAGAUGUAUUUUGUUACUUGGCAAAUUUCAUUGAUUUAAUUUCAUGAAAAAUUAUAACAAUUUUUUUGAAAAAAGAAACAGUACAGAUAGAAUAAACAAAAAUAUGUUUGAAUGUAAUAUAAAAAAUCAUUUCCAUUUUGUAUUCUUAAAAAAAUUAUACUUAAAUUGAGAUUAGAAUUUGUAACAAUGGCUUCUAAGAAUACAUCUGAACAAUGUUGUCUAAUCAGUACUGACACAAAUUGAUGUUCUGUAUUCUAAUAUAAUGGAACGUGAUAGAAAUUCCUUAUCAUAUUCCUUAUCAUAUUGUAACUGUGUAUUAAUAUUAUUUUGUAAAAUUUCGUUGUAUUCGAAGUAUUUAACUUCAUACAAAGUUCAAUGAUUUGUAAAUAAUGUAAACUUUUUUGUAGUUAAAACACAAUAAGUAUAAAAAGUAUACAUAUUUUUUAAAAAACAGUAUGUAUACCUAUAUUAUCUAUAUUUACUAUAUUACUAUAUUAUAUGUAAUUUGAAUUUUUUUGAAACGUAUAUAUAAUUAAUUUAAUAAUUUAUAUUUUUCCAGUUACUAAUUAUUUAAACGAGCAAAUUGUUUUUGCAUAAAUUGAAACACUCGAUGUCGAUGAAAAAAAACAAUAUUUGAGAUAUAUGGAGAAUCGUGUAACAGGUGCUUUGCAAACAAUUCCGCAAAAUAUAAUUACGUGGCUCGUCACGAUGUUAUUUUAUUGCAGCUCGAUUAAACGGUUAUGCGUACCAUGCAGAAUGUUUCUAGGAAGAGGUGAUUUUAAUUGGAUUAUCGGAUAGCAUAACGACAUUGACACGAGAAACAAGUUUGUCGUAUUUGCUGUACACUUCUCCGAACUUUUUGCGGACUUGCUCAAUUAUUGACUCUUACUACUUGCGUGUUGGCGAUUACAUGAUAAUAAAUAUUGUUUUCUUAAGUUAUUUAACUUAAACAAAUUAUUUUUUUUUAAUAUUUUGAAUUAUUAUUAAUGCUUAUAUUUAAAUAAAAAAAACAAAACAAAAUGAAAUAUUUGUCAAAUAUGAAAAAAUCUUAUUUAUAAUUCUUCUAAUUAAUGAAAUGUUUCAAGAAAUUUUUUGAUAUUGAUUGAUUUUUUUUCAUAUUUUAUGUAUUAAUCUCAUAUAUUAAUUUAAUAUAUGUCACUUUUUAAUUGAAAGAAUAAGAAAUCUGAAAUCAAUUAAUUUGACUUUCUUCUUAAUAAUUCUAUUGUUAUGAAAUUAUGAAACUUAAAUUUAAACUUUUUGACUUAGAAAUUAUUUAUUAAGAUUUAUAAUUAUUAUUAAUUAUAUUAUUAAUUAUAUAAUUAUAUGAUUUUUUAUAUAUAAUAUAUAAUUAUAUUAAUUAUAUAAUUUAUUAAGAUAUUUAUGAAAUAAUUUUUAAUUAGAAUUCUAAAAUUUAAACCAAUUAUCUCACCAGUUUAAGUUCAUCACUCUUACUAUUUCUUACCUAUGGCAGUUUUAGUUCGUACAGUGCGGGAAUAUCCCAUGGGAUGAAGUAUUGCCCAGUAACGAUCUACGGACACCGCCACUAGACAGAAAAUACUGAUCGUACAAAGAACAAUCAACACAGAAACGGUGAACAAGCAAGCAUGUAAAUUCUUCGGUAAGCCAAUGCUAGCUAAAAUAGCAAAAGGUAUUGCGAACAAUCCGACCAAAAGAUCAGCUGUGGCCAAAGAGAUGAUGUAAUAAUUAGUUCGUCGACGAAGUUUUUUCUCUUUGCUGAAGACGAUGAUUACUAAACCGUUACCAAACACUGCACACACUGCCACCAAGAUCUCGCAAACUGUAUACGGUAAUUUAAGGUAUCAGUGAGUAACUACGUUCUGUCAAAGAACAACAAAUCGUCCAUUGAGAAACAGGAUGACUGGAAAUCACGGGUUGCAAAUGAUCAAGUUCAUUGAAUAGAGUUCAACCACGUUUUGGUCGCGUACUUCCAAAGCUUAUCAUACAACAUCAUCUUCCAACCAUGUUCAUCAGAAGGUAAUUUUAGUUUAGAUGAUACGCGUGCUUUUGAUUAUAUUUUUAGCCAUAUUGGAUAUUGAGGUCAUCAACAUCAUAAAUUCAAAAAAUAUUUCUUCGUUUUUAAAUAUUAAAUAGUUUCAAAGUUUCUAUUAUUGAUUUUUCAAUUACGUCCAUUCUUUUAAAUUGUAAAUUCAAUGAAUCUUCUUAUCAUUUCAAUUGAAAUCAUAUAAAAAAAAUAAUUAUGAUGACUUGAAUGAUUGAAUUAAAUUUGUUUUUAUCUUUUUUUUUAAAUCGAAUAUAAAUGUCAUUCAAAUUAAUUAAAUUCUAUUUUUUAUGAAUCUAUUUUAUAAUAAAAUAUUUCUAAAUAUUUAUCUUUUAUUUUUAUUUGUAAAUCUUAAUUUAUAUAUAACAUAUAUUUAAUACGUUUGAAUGCCAACAUUUUUAUCUUCAAUUUAUAAUAGUUUUAUUCUAUUAAAAUGCAUUACUUUUCAAAUAAAAAAAUCUCUUUUUAAAAAGAGAUUUUUCGUUUUUUAAUAUUCAAUUAUCCUCUAUUUUCUAUGUCAUGAUAGAUUACUAAAAGACAUUUCUUUGAGAAGAAAAAUAGAUUAAAGUUUUAAAUUUUAUAAUUAUUGGAAGAUUUUAUUUUUAGAAAAGUUAAAAGUUAAUAAAUAUAUAAUAAAUAUAUAAUAUAUAUAAUAAGAUUAGUAAUGAUUACUUCAAUCUUUUUGAUGAUAAAAAAAUUAUUGUUAAUUUGUGAUAAAUUAAAAUUAUAUAGAACAUCAAGUUUAUUUAUAAAACUACUAAACAUUUAAUUUAAAACAUUUCUCAUUAUUUAUUUUAAAUAUGCAAUAAAUGUCAUUUACAAAUAAAUUUUCAUACUUAAUUUUAUAAUUUUUAUUAUAAUUUAAAAAAAAAUUGAUUCUAUUUUAACUAGAAGAAAAGAGGUAAGAACUUAAAAUCCAAUUCAAAAUAUCUAAAAUGAUAAAAGAAAAUAAAAGUCAUCAUGAAUAAUAAUAAAUAAUGAUAAAGAAUAUUUUAACAUUAUAUUCUUCGAUGUUCUAAACUUUUACGUUUAUCUUUAUUUAUAGAGGAUUAAUAUAUCACUUGUCUAUCAUUAUUAUAGCCUCUAUAUAAUAUUUUAAAUAAAAUUUACUUAAUAUAUUAUUUUAAGAUUUUAUUGUUAUGAAACAUAAUUUUUUAUUUUAUUAUUAUGAAAGAGUACUUAAUUCAUAUUUUAAAUAACAAUCAAAAUUCGUGGAUUUCAAUUAAUCGAAUAUUUAAGGAACACCGAUUCGAUAUCGUUCGAUAGCCAAUCAAAGUCACGCAGAUCUUCACUGAACCAAUCAACGUCAAUCAAUAACACCGCGCGCUUUUUUCCGAGGCGUCAUAAAUCAAUCAGUUAUCGAUGUUUAUUAUGUGAUGUGCUUUUCUAAAAAUGCGAGUUAAAUAAAAAAAAAUUAGGCGUCAUAAAUAAAACGCAUCCAGGGAACGCGUCCGUCUUCUCAACCCCGUGGCGCGUAACUGAGUUUCUUCGUAAUAUACAGGGACUAGUGGCGGUGGAGGUGGAAUAGACACGGUUGUAGGUUAUGGAGGUAGUGGUAGACCAGAAAAGAAAAUUGACAAUUUUAUAUGUUAAUGUUUCCAUGUUUUAUCUAAAUUAAUUUCAUAUUGAAAUAAAGUCUUUGAAAAUGAUGGCAAAAAUUUAAAAAUUUGAAAUAUUAAAUUAUUAUAUCUUAUUCGUAUUAUAACAAUUAUAUAUAUUUUCAUUAUAAUUCAUAUUGAAUUUUUAAUUAUAUUUUAAAUUUUAAAUUUUAAUAAUAUAUCUGUAUCGAAUCUAUAUUAUUUGAAGCAUUAAUAAACAUUUAAUAUAUAUACUUUGAAUUAUUUAAUAUUUUUAUUUAAUUUUUGUUUAAAAAAGCUUUAAUUUAUAAUUAGUCAUAUGAAUUUGAAUUAUUGGUUAUUUGCUGCGGUAGCAUUUCUUCGUGAGUAUCUUACGAGAUUUGUAAUUGGAUAAGCGUGCUACGAGUAAGAAUUCAAUGACUUGUCUAUAUGUAUAAGUGAUAAAAGUCGACGCAUAUGAAAUAUACUAUAUAGAUGAAAAUUCCAAAAAGUAAUCGAUGUAAUUAACUACACGCAUGCGUGUUAUACAUAAUAAUGACGAAAAUAGAAAACUCUAUUUCUUUUUUAACACUUUAUUUAUAACACCAUCUCUCUAUUUAUAUCAGUACAAAAGCCUCUGGAAGUCAUUUUAUCCGAAUCAUCAGAUUCUACGAGGCAUUAUUUAUUCUAUUUUUUAAAUAGAAUAAAAGGAAAAUAUCUCCAUGGUUGAAUAAAGCUUAACCAUGCUUCAAGAAUUAAUCUAAAGGAACUAUCUAGAGGCCAAUGAUGUAUAGCUUUUCGAAGAAAUGUGUAGAUUUUACCUUGGACGGAAGGUAAAAUAAUUCUGUAAAUAAUUUUUAACAAAAUUUUGUGAUAUUAAUAUUUAAUUAUAUUUAAUUAUAUUUAAUUAUUGUUUAACUUUUUCUUUAAUAUUAAUAUACCGUUUAAGUUCAUCCAUUGCACUUUUGUCGCCUGUAGCACUAUUUGCAAAUUCAUGCAAAGUUUUUAUAAAUGCUCGAACUAGACGUAUAUGCUCUCCAGAAUGAAUACUAUGCUGUAAUUAUAAUUAUAUAUAAAUAUACAUAUUUUAUAAAAAAAUUUUUAUCAUAUACUUACUCGGCGGGGCACAGAUGCAGGAUAUGAUGUGCUUAAAGGUGAACAUAAUUUAUCAUCUUCUAUAUAUUCUACCCAAAAAUCAAGAAAUACUUGAACUACGGUUUCACUUCUCCAAACUUGUGGCAAACAUUGUUGUUGUGGUACAGUUGAUGUGGAAGUCGGAGAUCCUGGCGAUAAUAUCGAUGUUCUCAAAAGUCGUGGUGUUUGCAUUCUAUAAUAAUUUCUAAUUAUAAUUUUUGUUUACUGUUAAAUUCAGGUGAUUGUACAAGUUUUCGUUGAGGUGUUUUUCUGAUGUAUGGACUAAUUAUUGGCAAAACAGGGGAAUUAUCUCUAGGUAAAAAAUGGUAUAAGUAACAAUGUGCUAAUUGAACAUAAACAGUUUCCCAAUU